rnacentral:rRNA from 1 species
UCGUAACAAAGGUUUCCGUAGGUGAACCAGCGGAGGGAUCAU